ensembl:snoRNA C26G2.11 ncRNA
GCACACAAAUUGUGCACAUCUCGUUACUUUAUCGCAAAGAGAAAAGGGGGGUUUACUGCGUGGUGAAUGAGCGAAGAGGGGGGAGAUGAAAAGGUCCAAAUGACAAUGAUUUUGUGACUUUUCUUUGCAGGUAUCAAACAGAAACAUUGGUGAAUUAUAGCUGUUUGAUGGGAAACAAGAAUUGGAGU